rnacentral:tRNA from 2 species
GACCCCGUAGCUCAGUGGAUAGAGCAGUGGACUUCGAAUCCAUGUGCGAGGGUCCGAUUCCCUCCGGGGUCG